ACCGUCAUAGUUUAAGAUAAAACAGCAAUUUUGUAAAUUGAAAAUAAUUAAUAAAUAUUUGAUAGUA
rnacentral:tRNA from 1 species